UACAGAGGGUGCGAGCGUUAAUCGGAAUUACUGGGCGUAAAGCGUGCGUAGACGGUUAUGUAAGUCAGGUGUGAAAGCCCCGGGCUCAACCUGGGAAUUGCAUUUGAGACUGCAUAGCUAGGGUGCGGAAGAGGGAAGCGGAAUUUCCGGUGUAGCGGUGAAAUGCGUAGAUAUUGGGAAGAACACCUGAGGCGAAGGCGGGUUGCUGGGCCGACACUGACGCUGAGGCGCGAAAGCCAGGGGAGCAAACGGG
rnacentral:rRNA from 1 species